GUGUCCUAUCUGAGGUGCAGCUGCAGGAGUUCGGCCCAGGACUGGUGAAGCCCUCGCAGACCCUGUCUCUCACCUGCACAGUCUCUGGUGACUCCAUCACAACCACUGGUUAUGGUUGGAGCUGGAUCCACCAGCCCUCAGGGAAGAGCCUUGAGUGGAUGGGAUGCAUCAGUUAUAGUGGUGGUACAGCUUAUAACCCGUCCGUCAAGAGCCGCAUCUCCAUCACUAUAGACACAUCCAAGAACCAGUUCUCCCUGCAGCUGAGCUCUGUGACCGCCGAGGACACAGGC